rnacentral:rRNA from 1 species
AUGGCUUCAGCCGCCGAACUCCAGAAACUCGAAGCCGAGCUCAAGGAACGCGAGUCCCUUCUCCGAACUCGCCAAGAAGAGCUUGACCGGCGCCUCGCCGAGUCAGGCAAAGCCCCAGCCACCACCCCAAACCCCUCCUCAUAUGUCGCUUCCCUCAAACCUAAUGUCGCCAUAACCCUAGACCUCCAUGAAUCCAACUACAUCAAGUGGUGCGAGCUGGUUCUCGUUGCCCUCGGUCGCUAUGGCCUCACCCACCAUGUCACCGGCGACGGCGCGGCCACACCAUCCGACACUUCGCCCACCUCUGAUUGGGCACGUGACGACUUCACUGUCCUUUCAUGGAUCUACGGCUCGAUCUCCCCCGAGCUCUUCGGCAUCAUCAUGGCACCUGGGUCUACGGCGCAGUAG